GGUUCCAUAGUUCAGUUGGUUAGAGCAUCGUACUAAUAAUGCGAAAGUCGUGAGUUCGAGCCUCACUGGGACCA
rnacentral:tRNA from 4 species